rnacentral:rRNA from 1 species
AUUGAACGCUGGCGGCAUGCUUUACACAUGCAAGUCGAACGGCAGCGCGGGCUUCGGCCUGUCGGCGAGUGGCGAACGGGUGAGUAAUGCAUCGGAACGUGCCCAGUAGUGGGGGAUAGCCCGGCGAAAGCCGGAUUAAUACCGCAUACGACCUGAGGGUGAAAGCGGGGGACCGAAAGGCCUCGCGCUAUUGGAGCGGCCGAUGUCGGAUUAGCUAGUUGGUGGGGUAAAGGCUUACCGAGGCGACGAUCCGUAGCUGGUCUGAGAGGACGACCAGCCACACUGGGACUGAGACACGGCCCAGACUCCUACGGGAGGCAGCAGUGGGGAAUUUUGGACAAUGGGGGCAACCCUGAUCCAGCCAUGCCGCGUGAGGGAAGAAGGCCUUCGGGUUGUAAACCGCUUUUGUUCGGGAAGAAAUCCUCUGGGCUAAUACCCCGGGGGGAUGACGGUACCGGAAGAAUAAGCACCGGCUAACUACGUG